rnacentral:misc_RNA from 1 species
CGACCCUCGGAGCUCCCUCUUGUAGGCUGCUUCGGCCUUGGGCUAGCGAGUAAGCCCUUUUGCUUGCGGCCUGUAAACGAUUGGCGGCGCGUUGGUUAACUCCCCUGCGUAGUGAAUUUGCUCGCAUUGGAUCACUAGCAAAGCCUGCCUUAAAACCCUUUUAACUA